rnacentral:rRNA from 1 species
GUAGCGAACAGGAUUAGAUACCCUGGUAGUCCAUGCCGUAAACGAUGAUUACUAAGUGUUGGAGGGUUUCCGCCCUUCAGUGCUGCAGCUAACGCAUUAAGUAAUCCGCCUGGGGAGUACGACCGCAAGGUUGAAACUCAAAAGAAUUGACGGGGGCCCGCACAAGCGGUGGAGCAUGUGGUUUAAUUCGAAGCUACGCGAAGAACCUUACCAGGUCUUGACAUCUUCUGACAGUCUAAGAGAUUAGAGGUUCCCUUCGGGGACAGAAUGACAGGUGGUGCAUGGUUGUCGUCAGCUCGUGUCGUGAGAUGUUGGGUUAAGUCCCGCAACGAGCGCAACCCUUAUUACUAGUUGCCAGCAUUAAGUUGGGCACUCUAGUGAGACUGCCGGUGACAAACCGGAGGAAGGUGGGGACGACGUCAAAUCAUCAUGCCCCUUAUGACCUGGGCUACACACGUGCUACAAUGGAUGGUACAACGAGUCGCGAGACCGCGAGGUUAAGCUAAUCUCUUAAAACCAUUCUCAGUUCGGACUGUAGGCUGCAACUCGCCUACACGAAGUCGGAAUCGCUAGUAAUCGCGGAUCAGCAUGCCGCGGUGAAUACGUUCCCGGGCCUUGUACACACCGCCCGUCACACCAUGAGAGUUUGUAACACCCAAAGCCGGUGGGGUAACCUUUUAGGAGCUAGCCGUCUAAGGUGGGACAGAUGAUUAGGGUGAAGUCGUAACAAGGUAACC